rnacentral:rRNA from 1 species
UACGGAUGAUGCAAGCGUUAUCCGGAUUCAUUGGGUUUAAAGGGUGCGUAGGCGGGCUAUUAAGUCAGUGGUGAAAUCCUGCAGCUUAACUGCAGAACUGCCGUUGAUACUGAUAGUCUUGAGUUUGGUUAAGGUAGGCGGAAUGUGUAAUGUAGCGGUGAAAUGCUUAGAUAUUACACAGAACACCAAUUGUGUAGGCAGCUUACUGAGCCGACACUGACGCUGAGGCACGAAAGCGUGGGGAUCAAACAGGA